GUAUUUUAGUUAUUUAUGUGAUAAAGCUUUAUGCCUCUCACGCAUGCAACACGGGUUCGAUUCCCGUAGACGCUACA
rnacentral:tRNA from 1 species